AGCCUUGUGGUGAAUUUCAUGUUGAAUUGCAAAUUCAAAGGAGCAGCUUUAAACUCUGCCAGGGCUU
rnacentral:tRNA from 1 species